AUGGCCACGCCCCCGGGGGCCGGUCCCCCACCUCUACGCUUCGUCGCCGCAGCUAGCUGGCAGGUUGUGCGCGGACGCGUGUGGAACAUUUUCCCCGAGUCCUGGACUUUCUGCGAUCUCUGCGCGCUAUUGCCCCUGGCUUGGUUCGCUACCGGCACCACGAACGCCUUUGUAUGGGCCUAAAGGCCAAGGUGGUGGUGGAGCUGAUCCUGCAGGGCCGGCCUUGGGCCCAAGUCCUGAAAACCCUGAAUCACCACUUUCCAGAAUCUGGACCUAUAGUGCGGGAUCCCAAGGCUACAAAGCAGGAUCUGAGGAAGAUUUUGGAGGCACAGGAAACUUUUUACCAACAGGUGAAGCAGCUGUCAGAGGCUCCUGUGGAUUUGGCCUCGAAGCUGCAGGAACUUGAACAAGAAUAUGGGGAACUCUUUCUGGCUGCCAUGGAAAAGCUGCUUUUUGAGUACUUGUGUCAGCUGGAGAAAGUACUGCCUACACCGCAGGCACAGCAGCUUCAGGAUGUGCUGAGUUGGAUGCAGCCUGGAGUCUCUAUCACCUCUUCUCUUGCCUGGAGGCAAUAUGGUGUGGACAUGGGGUGGCCACUUCCAGAGUGCUCUGUUACUGACUCAGUGAAGCUGGCUGAGCCCAUGGAACAGAAUCCUCCUCAGCAACAAAGACUAGCACUCCACAAUCCUCUGCCAAAAGCCAAGCCUGGCCCAUGUCUUCCUCAGGGAACAUCUUCAAGGACGCACCUGGAACCUCUAGCUGGCCGCCACUUCAAUCUGGCCCCUUUAGGCCGACGAAGAGUCCAGUCCCAAUGGGCGUCCACUAGGGGAGGCCAUAAGGAGCGCCCCACAGUCAUGCUGUUUCCCUUUAGGAAUCUGGGCUCACCAACCCAGGUCAUAUCUAAGCCUGAGAGCAAGGAAGAACAUGCGAUAUACACAGCAGACCUAGCUGUGGGCACAAGAGCAGCCUCCACUGGGAAGUCUAACAGUUCAUGCCAGACCCUGGGGGGAAGGGCUCUGAAGGAGAACCCAGUUGACUUGCCUGCCACAGAGCAAAAGGAGAAUUGCUUGGAUUGCUACAUGGACCCCCUGAGACUAUCAUUAUUACCUCCUAGGGUCAGGAAGCCAGUGUGUCCUCCAUCUCUGUGCAGCUCCGUCAUUACCAUAGGGGACUUGGUUUUAGACUCUGAUGAGGAAGAAAAUGGCCAGGGGGAAGGAAAGAAUCAUCCUUCCGUGCCCUCGAGCUUCUUACCAAAAGCCUUGGCCACAUCCCCAGGACAGCUGCAACCUCCAUCCUGCAAAGUAAGGAGCACUAUGAACACAACAUGGAUUUCCCAAGCCCUCAGCGAUGUCCCAACAGCCCAAACUCAAAGCCAACAAGAA